UACGUAGGUGGCAAGCGUUGUCCGGAUUUAUUGGGUUUAAGGGUGCGUAGGCGGCUUUGUAAGUCAGUGGUGAAAUAUGGCAGCUCAACUGUCAGGGUGCCAUUGAUACUGCAGAGCUUGAGUACAGAUGAGGUAGGCGGAAUUGACGGUGUAGCGGUGAAAUGCUUAGAUAUCAGGAAGAACACCCGUGGCGAAGGCGGCUCUCUGGGACGGUACUGACGCUGAGACGCGAAAGCGUGGGUAGCGAACAGG
rnacentral:rRNA from 1 species